CGGGCGGAGUCAUCUAUUCUCCCAUCAAAAUCAGAAUCUAUUGCAUGUAUUUUCAGGAACAAUUAAAUAUUCUUACUGGCGCACUAGGACACUAAGUAUUUUACCAUAGAGGAGAAAUUAGGGGCAACUACAUGCAACAAGGGAGCAACACUAGGAGAAGAGCGGAACCAAAAAGUCAGUAAGGUAUAGUUCCUAUGUAAGAGCUUCAGCCAAUGAACGAAAGACAUGGGUCGUGUGCCACAUCGAGUUACAGAAAUAGUCAAAAGUUGCUUGAUAGGUCUGUAAGAAAGGAUGAUAGUUCUUGAAUGGAAUAAGACUA